UUAUAUUCUUCUUUUUCUUCUUCUGAUGCUAUUGCAUUUGCUUUUUAAUCCAUGCCCAACUACUUUUAUUUCCAUCCCUUUAGGGCCUAGGAAUGUUUUGGUCCCAUUCAAUCAGAACAUCAUGCAAAAUAUUCUUUCCUCAUUUGGUUUGAUUUAAUCUUCACAUCAGGCGAAAGGCUUCAUGUACAAAAGCCCCAUUACUUAUAAAAAAAAUGGUUCAAAAGCCCCGUUAUCACUUCGAAGAUGCUGCAAACAAGUUUAACCUUUGAUCUUGUUUUCUUUAAUAAUCCAUUUGAUUUGGUUACAUAAGUUUAAUCUUCAGAUAACACCUUUACUCAGCCUGCCAUCUACAAUUUUGAAUGCUUGAAUCCUUUUUUCAUUCAACGAGUUUAAAAUAAAAGAGGGAAGCAACAAAAGCUCAAACCCAUCACUCAAUCCCUUUUUCAUUCAUCUAGUCUUAAUGUUUAUGUACUUGCUAUUUAUCAAGUUCUUAUGUCAAUAUUUUGUGCGUUUUCUUUGUCUCUGAGGCGGAUGUGUUUCAUGGCAUGGAAGAGUGCAAAGUUGGGGAAGCAACCAGCUGUAGAUAUGAAGAUAUUGCAUAUACUUUGGAUCAAGUAACAAUCACUGAACAACAUUCUUGAUGUAGGAAACCAUAUCAAGAGUACAAGUCUGAUUUAUUUGGUCUGCGGCUAAAAUCUAAAAUGAAGAUAUUGCUUAAACAGAAAAUUUGCUUCCUUACAUCAAUGCAAGAUCUUAGACAAAGUCCUCUAGUUGUUGCAAAUAGCAUUCGACCAACAGAUUAACAUAUACCUUAUGGGCAGAUUAUUUCUGAUGGACAAGGAAGAUAAGAUCAAUCUCAAAGAAGAAACCCCAUCAAGGACGUCAAGAAUUCAGUUGAGGAAGGAAAUGAACAUGAUCUUGGCACCACCACUCGCAAAGUAAAUCGAGGAAGAUUAUAUGAUCACAGCAGAAGCUCAUUAAUCUAGUAGCCAGCGAGUAUUUGAAGUUAUAAGCAUGGAGAAUGGUGUAGUGCGCUACAGUGUUGAGUUUUACAGUGAUGAAGAUCUUUUGACCUCAGAUUUCAUAUGUUGAGGCCUUAAUGUCAUCUAUUUUCUCCCCAACAUCAGGGUUAUUAUGUUGAAGUCUAAACAUAUUGGAGGAGCAUAGCUAAUGCUGGUGAAAAUCAUUAAGCAAUGAUGCACCUCAUAUAGCCAUGUCUUACAUUCUGGUGCAAGAUAGCUAAUUGAAAAGGCUCCAUAUGCAGAACAGAAAAGUUCUAUAUAUCAAAACAACAAAGCUCUGUUCUCUCCUCCCCGAAACAUUGUCCUUGUUUACAAAGUCAUGGACACAAAAAGGCUUAUAGAUGAGGCUCCAAUCAACAUCCCGAAUCUUACAUAUCAUGGAUGUCAAGAAGAAACAAUGUCAAGCUGUGACAUGUGAAUAGGAGACAACUGGCUUUAUCUAUAUCUGUAAAUUCUUCUUUCCAUGUCCUUUUGUUGUUUGAAUGUGAAUGACUGGUUAUCAAGUUUGUUAUUAUAGGGACAUGAUUUCAAAACUACGUAGAUUGCUUUUGUUAAGAGGAAAAUUUUAUUUGUAUAAGCAAUAUUUCUGUUAAAUUUCAUAUUGCUUUUGUUAAGCAAUAUGUCAACCAAUUUCCUAAAAGUCAAGUCAACAAUUUGGGUUUGGAAGCAGUUUGUUUAUAUAUAUUUAAAUUGUUAGCCUAA